AGGACGAACGCUGGCGGCGUGCUUAACACAUGCAAGUCGAGCGGAAAGGCCCUUCGGGGUACUCGAGCGGCGAACGGGUGAGUAACACGUGAGCAAUCUGCCCUUAGCUUCGGGAUAGCUCCGGGAAACCGGAAUUAAUACCGAAUAUGACUACGGUUGACAUCAGCCAUGGUGGAAAGUUUUUCGGCUAGGGAUGAGCUCGCGGCCUAUCAGCUAGUUGGUGGGGUAACGGCCUACCAAGGCGACGACGGGUAGCCGGCCUGAGAGGGCGACCGGCCACGACUGGGACUGAGACACGGCCCAGACACCUACGGGUGGCAGCAGUCGAGAAUUUUUCUCAAUGGGGGAAACCCUGAAGGAGCGACGCCGCGUGGAGGAUGAAGGUCUUCGGGUUGUAAACUCCUGUCAUUUGGGAACAAUGCGCAAAUAUUAACUGUAUUUGCGUUGAUAGUACCAGAAGAGGAAGAGGCGGCUAACUCUGUGCCAGCAGCCG
rnacentral:rRNA from 1 species